rnacentral:lncRNA from 1 species
CUUAUAAUUUCUAUACUUAUUAUAGAAUCUUUAGUAUUAAUGAAUAUAAAUGUCUUUUUAUAAUUUACCAUAGCCAUUAGGAUCUUUAACAAGAUAAAUAAGAACAACAAUUGUCCUUAACAUUAAAAUAGUUCAUGUCUGAACAUGAAAUUCAUUUUAAUGUUCCAGCUAUAGUUGGCAUAAAACGACAUUUCAAUACUAAACCAAAAGGCAAUGGCAAGAAGUAUAUUCAUACAGGUAAUGUAGCAACCUUUGCUCAUCUCCAACGUGUAUGUCAACUUCUCCCUUUCGCAGUGGUCUACUUCUUUUAGUUUCUCCAUAUUUGUAUAAAUACGAUAUUUACAUCUGGUAUCAUAUACCUAAGAAACUCGUGAAGUAGACGUAAGUCAUACAAUAUUCCUUCUAAUGACCUCUCAUUCUAUAAUGAAACCAAGGGUCAUUAGAUGUUGUAUUUGUCCUUUCGCUUAUACCG